rnacentral:rRNA from 1 species
CGGGGCUUAAUGUCUUGUAAUUGGAAUGAUGGGAAUUUAAACCUCUUCCAGAGUAUCAAUUGGAGGGCAAGUCUGGUGCCAGCAGCCGCGGUAAUUCCAGCUCCAAUAGCGUAUAUUAAAUUUGUUGCAGUUAAAAAGCUCGUAGUUGAAUUUCUGCUGCAUUACAUUUCUCUUGUUUGAGUAUGUUAUUGUGGCUUAUUUCGGAUUGAUUUUUAUCAUUCCGGAUGAUUACUUUGAGAAAAUUAGAGUGCUCAAAGCAGGCUUUUGCCUUGAAUAGUUUAGCAUGGAAUAAUAAGAUAGGACUUCGGAACUAUUUUGUUGGUUUGCGUUACGAAGUAAUGAUUAAUAGGGACAGUUGGGGGUAUUCGUAUUCCGUUGUCAGAGGUGAAAUUCUUGGAUUUCCUGAAGACGAACUACUGCGAAAGCGUUUACCAAGGAUGUUUUCAUUAAUCAAGAAC